UAAUUUCUGCUCGUUAGUUUAAGUAUGAGGCUCUUGGGAGAGGGUGAUGGGGGUUUGGUUUUUGGGAAGGGUUGCCGCUUCCUUGCGUGUCUCUUCUCCCAAGCCGAUGAUUCUUAACCAAUGCCCACAACCCUUCCCUUCCUGCUGCACCGCAGGGAUCCGGAAUCGGAUCGUACUUGUAUCCUUCGCGCGAAAGAAUGAUUCAUCUUCCUUCAAGCCAAUCCACCAUUGGAUCAUCCACGGCUGGAUCCUUGUGAUUCCGUUCGAGCUUUUAAGCGAUCGUCGCAAGUGAUGGAGAAUCUCAGAUUCUUGGUGCGUAAACCCUAAUCCCUAAUCCUGAUACCUUCAGGUUCUUGGGGUUCGAAACCCUAAAUCCUGAGAUCCUUGGGCUUGUGGAACCCUAAACCCUGGAUCCUCUCUUCUUGUUUUCCAUCCUAAUGGAUCGAUGGCGUGGCAGCUCGGAUGGCCACCAAGGCAACCGCUGCAGCCAUUCCUUUAGAAGGGGUUCAGAAGAGGGCGGAGAGGAAGGGAACCAUAUAGUGUGAUCGAUCGAAUUAGGGAUUAGGCGGUGGUCCAAUCGGACGAGGCGGUGCGCUCCAUAUCGGAUUUUCUAUACCGCAGGCGGUGUACAAAGAAUUUCUUGUCCUAUAAAUACCCGGGCUGGAGCAUUUCUGCUUAUUUUUUGCUCAUUAGUUUGAGGCUUUUGGGAGAGGGUGAUGGGGGUUUGGUUUUUGGGAAGGGUUGCCGCCUCCUUGCGUGUCUCUUCUCCCAAGCUGAUGAUUCGUAACCAGUGCCCACAACCCUUCCCUUCCCGCUGCACAGCGGGGAUUCGGAAUUGGAUCGUACUUGUAUCCUUCGUGCGAAAGAAUGAUUCAUCUUCCUUCAAGCCAAUCCAUUGUUAGAUCAUCCAUGGCUCGGUUUGAUCUCUCUCUCUCUCUCUCUCCCUCCCCCCUUAUGUUUUAGAGGCGAUGAUGAUGUUGUUUGUCUCCAGUUCCUUGUGAUUCGGUUCAAGCUUUUAAGCGAUUGUCGCAAGUGAUGGAGAAUCUUAGAUUCUUGAUGCGUAAUCCCUAAUGCUGAUAUCUUCCGGCUUUUGGGGUUGGAAACCCUAAGUCCUGAGUUCUUGGGUUUGUGGAACCCUAAACCCUUGAUCCUCUCUUCUUGUUUUCCAUCGUAAUGAAUCGAUGUCGGGGCAGUUUGGAUGGCCGCCAAGGCAACCGCUGCAGCCAUUCCUUUUGAAGGGGUUCAGAAGAGGGUGGAGAGGAAGGGAAUCAUAUAAUGUGAUCGACGAUUAAAGGCGAAUCUGAGCCUCGCCCCCU